rnacentral:rRNA from 1 species
GCCGCCCGCUGGCGGCGGGCUUAACACAUGCAAGUCGAACGGAAAGGCCCUGCAGUUGUGUGGUGCUCGAGUGGCUAACGGAUGGGUAACAAAUGAGUAACCUGCCCUUUACUGUGGGAUAACUACAGGAAACUGGGGCAAAUAACGGCUAGUAGCUCCUCCUGACUGGUGGGGGGGAGCAAGGUGCGGCGGUUGGGGAUGGGCUCCCGGCUUAUCAUCGUGUUGGUGGGGUAGAGGCUUACCAAGGCUUUGACGGGUAGCCGGCCUGAGAGGGUGACCGGCCACAUUGGGACUGAGAGACGGCCCAGACUCCUACGGGAGGCAGCAGUGGGGAAUAUUGCACAAUGGGCGGAAGCCUGAUGCAGCAACGCCGCGUGCGGGAUGACGGCCUUCGGGUUGUAAACCGAUUUCGCCUGUGACGAAGCGUGAGUGACGGUAAUGGGUAAAGAAGCACCGGCUAACUACGUG